rnacentral:rRNA from 1 species
CCUACGGGAGGCUGCAGUCGAGAAUCAUUCACAAUGGGGGAAACCCUGAUGGGGCGACGCCGCGUGGGGGAAUGAAGGUCUGCGGAUUGUAAACCCCUGUCAUGUGGGAGCAAAUUAAAAAGAUAGUACCACAAGAGGAAGAAACUGCAAACUCUGAGCCAGCAGCCGCGGUAAUGCAGAGGGCUCAAGCGUGAUUCGGAAUCAGUGGACGUACAGCGUGCGUAGGCGGUUUCGUAAGUCGUGUGUGAAAGGCGCGGGCUCAACCCUCGAAGGGCACAUGAUAAUGUGCGACUAGAGUAAUGGAGGGGGAACCGGAAUUCUCGGUGUAGCAGUGAAAUGCGUAGAGAUCGAGAGGAACACUCGUGGCGAAGGCGGGUUCCUGGACAUUAACUGACGCUGAGGCACGAAGGCCAGGGGAGCGAAAAGGAUUAGAUACCCGGGUAGUC